rnacentral:misc_RNA from 1 species
UCUCCGUUGGUGAACCAACGGAGGGAUCAUUACCGAAGUUACCUUCAAAACCCACUGUGAACCUUACCUCUUGCCGCGUUGUCUCGGCGGGAGGCGGUGUGCGUCGCGCGCCCUAGCGGGCCGCGCCGCUCCCGUCCCCGCCGGCAGCGCCAAACUCUAAAUGCACAGCGGACUGUACGUUCUGAUUUACAAAAAAAACAAGUUAAAACUUUCAACAACGGAUCUCUUGGUUCUG